GUGCGCUUAGCGUGAGGUUCUUUCCGCUUCCGGGGAGCGGCCGCUCGGCGGGCGGGGAAGCAAUGGCCGCGCUUGCUCUUCUGCUCCUCGCUGUGGGACGCGGAGCCGAGCGCUUCCCCCUCUGUCCUCACCGCCGCUUCCAUGGCGUGGCCGGGGCGCAGGCCGAGCAGGGCCCGGGGGCCUUCGCGGAGCCGUGAGGGCGGUGCGCUGGGGGGAGGCUGUGGUGGAGGCGCGGGGUGUGCUGACAACCGCCUGCCCCCCCCCCCCCCCUCCGGGGUGAGGUUUGGGUUUGAUCCCGCCGGCUCCUCGGUGGUGCGGGCUGGGGGCGAACCGGGAGCCACAGCUCUGGUAACGGCUGCUCGAAACCCGGGGAGAACCGGGCUGCGGGGGGCGGUGCAUCGGCUGCCUGCGCUGAGGGAAACCCUGCGGUGCUGAAGCGUGUUCGGGGGUGCGAGUUGCAGCGGUUGGGAGCGUGUCCUCAGGGGGUCAGAGCCGUUCAGCCGGCACGUUUUGUCACUGGGGGCAGGCAGGGCGUGCUGGUAGCUUUGCGUCUGUCCUCACUGCCUCCACUUGCUCGGGUUUGGUUGAUUUUUUAUUUUUUUUUUUUUUUUUUUAAUGGGGCGAAGCAGGAGGUUUGUGUCACCGAGAAACUAGCAGUUCUUGGCAUGCUUUGCUUCGGAGCUGGGAGAGGAGACCCGAGGAACCGGUAGCUUUUGGCACGGCUUGGUCUGUCACUGGAGCUGCGAGGGGGGGGAGCGGCUGCAAGAUGGAGCGGCGGGAGGAUGAUGAGGCUGGCUGGCUGCGUGUGCGGGAGAGCUGGUUCAGCUGGUGCUGGAAGAUGCGCAGAGCUGCCCAGCAUCAGCCAGGGAAGCGUGGAAUUUGGAAGAUGUCCUGUAAGCAGCCAUGUGCGCAGCCAGCUUUGAGCUCCUGGGCAGGCACCCGUUUCUUUCCAAGAACUUGGAGCGGGGCGUGGAGGUCUCGUACAGCAGCUGGGUCCAUCCUAUAAUGAUUUAAAUCAUCUGUUGAGAAGAAAUAUUAAUGGGACUCCCAUAAGACUCCUGACAUUUUGCUGAUGUUCCUGUUAGAAGACCUAUCACCUCAUUUUGAAAACAGUAAUAAAAGCACCAGUAUUCAAACUGCAGGGCUUAAAUGCUAACAGUCAAAAAUUAGGUUACUUCCAGGCAUUCUGCUGCUGAACAGAAUUGCUCGUUAUGAAUUGGUGGUUUGAGGUCCUUAUAUAUUGCACAAGAAGGUAGAUAUUUAAGAAUGAUACUGUCAACAGAAAGUUGUUUGUUAGUUUUGUUUUUAAAAGGGGAAGGGGUAAAUUAUCUGGUGAGAAAGAUCAGAAGAAAAGUCUCAUUUCAGCUUAUCAGAACAGGACACCUCUUCGUGUCCAGGUCAGAUACCUGUGUGUCUUUCUGACUUGUGAUAGUGCCUUGAAACGAAGUCCCUUAUCACACUUUAACAAUUGAGCGCUACUUAGGUGGUUUUGUUGUAUCUUGAAGCUUUUUAGUGGGAUGGCUUGAGCUCCAGCUGUUCUGCAUGCCUGGUAAAUAAUUUCAGCAUACCAUCAAAGCAACAUCUGGCAGCACCAGCAUAUCCUCAGUUUUGAGAAUAUUAAGAAUGCUUAAAAUGUACCUACAGUUCUGGACUGCACAGUUGAAGUUUGUGUGGGAUGCCUAAAUUGUGAACGCUGAAGAAAUGUUUGUGAAAAGUUCCUGGUUAUUUUAAAGAUGUGCUAAUUUGUAAAAGUUGUGCAACAAGUAGCAGAAAUGUGGAAGUGCCAUGGGAGUUUUACUGGUGUAGAAACUGAGGUCUUACGGGACAUUGACAUUUUGGAGUCUGAACUGUAUUUUAACUUCCUGGUUUGGAUCUAAUCUGGAGACCCAUAAGCAAGUUUGUUUCUGAACAAGAUGGAUAAUUACAUAAUAUUUAUGGAUUUAUAGUGUAUUCUCAAGAGGAUAUUUGUGUUAGCUUUAAAAUACAACAGUCCAUAAAUGACCUGAGCCAGUUUAACUGAUGGGUGUUCUACAUGAUCUAAGGCAGUUUUUUUACUUAGAUCAUGUAAGGACGCCUUUGGCAGAGAGAGGCCAUGCUAGUAAUCAAAAGAAAAAUGUUUGAUUCCUACCAUUAACAAAUAGAAUGGAAGAUCGUGUUCAGUCUGGAGUGUGGACCUUUAAACAAGACACUCUAGACUUCAAAUUUGCUUCUCAGUGCCACAGACCUCGAUAUAUGCCUCUUUGCAGUAACACUGUGAAUUGUGAAGCUGUCCUGGAGCAAGAACGUGUAGUAUGACCCUUGUAAUAGAGGAGUAGAAUUGUUCUUUGGGAUACGCAAGCUUCUUGCAGGUAGUCUUCCUUGCUAGAGUCUGUUAGAUCUUUGUUCCUUAUUUGCAGGUGGUAGUGGUGCUUGAGUCUUUCAGUGCUACAGAGGAAGCGUACUUUUAUAUACAUCUAACAUCUCUGCAAGGCUAAGAAAUGUGACCUCUCAUGAGAACACCUCUUGCCUCUUUUCACCCAUGAGUUAUGAAUGCCAGAAUGUUUUAUGGGCCUGAAAAAAAAGACUGGGCAAACUCAAGAACGUAGAGUUGAUCUGCAAAAUACAAAGAUUACUUCGUAUUCCUGUUACUGGAACAAGUAUUGGGCCGUAGAAAGCUAGGGACGUGUUCUUUGUUUCCUGUGCAGGUGCUCUUGACGAGCUGUGCAGAAGCAGGGUCGUGGGCUCCGAGUUUGAUUUAACCGGGUGUGGUCAAUGCGUACACGUCGUAAUUUACUUAAAAUGCUGGGGACCUCGUGCCCGUGGGAAGACCAAAGGGCCCCCUGCGCCUGCGCGGGGGGGGGGGGGGGGGUCCCGUGGAGCGGCCGUGGGCGGCGCUGAGGCCUGACCGCCAGGGGGCGCCGCCGCCUCCGCCCGAAAUGGCGGGCGGGCGUGAGGGGGCUGGCGGGGCCUCCCUGAGCGGCCCCCUCUCUGCUGGCGCUCCGCGGCUGAAUUCCCGUAGCUCUUCUCUGUACGGUUAAAGAACCUCAGAUUUUACAGUAAGGUAUUCUUCCGUGUCAUUCGAGAAAUGCAUCUCGCGUUACCGAAGCUUGCCUCAGCACCGGCCGUUUGAUCUCUGCUGGGGCAGAAGGCAGACAGUACCGAGCGUUGUGUCAUCACAAAUACACCUCAGCUCUAGGAGAUAUUUCUCCAAGCAAAAAUAUAUGAGAGUUUUGCACACAUUAUUGUAUUUGUAAAGUAGAUGGAAUUGUUAUGGAGAAUCUUAAUUAAAAUUUUUUAAAUCUUAGUAUUUUUAAACUUGGUACUAUAAUAGCUCAAUAAAGAUUUAACUUUUUUCAUCACUCGC